CAUCUUCCAAAACAUUCCCUUAAGUACUAACAUCUUUCUGCAUCAUUUGAAUACACUCAUGCAAACUUAUUUACAUUCUGGCAAGAAAGCAUGGGCUGAAAGCAAGAGUAAUAGGAAUCUUGCCUCAAAAUGAAAUUAAAUAACGUAAAUAAAUUCCCACAAAGUUAUUGCUUGAAAUGAUAUUCAGUUUUGUUUUUGUAGGUUAUAUUAUGGCCCUUAUCACCCAAAUUUGGGUAUUCAUUUUUUCAAACUUGGCAAGAUACAGAAUUUUCAAAAUCUAAUGUCUGCUGCUGAGCAUAAUUUGUUUCAGGCAGAGGAGGUACUUAAAGUAACUCAUGGUACUAAGCAUCCUUUAUAUCAAGAUCUUUUAAAAAUUAUUAUGGAAACUCAGACUUGUAUAUCUGUAAAUAAAGAGGAAGAAAUAUAAAA